rnacentral:rRNA from 1 species
AUUGAACGCUGGCGGCAUGCCUUACACAUGCAAGUCGAACGGCAGCACGGGUGCUUGCACCUGGUGGCGAGUGGCGAACGGGUGAGUAAUACAUCGGAACAUGUCCUUGAGUGGUGGAUAGCCGGGCGAAAGCCGGAUUAAUACCGCAUACGAUCUACGGAUGAAAGCGGGGGACCUUCGGGCCUCGCGCUAUCGGGUUGGCCGAUGGCUGAUUAGCUAGUUGGUGGGGUAAAGGCCUACCAAGGCGACGAUCAGUAGCUGGUCUGAGAGGACGACCAGCCACACUGGGACUGAGACACGGCCCAGACUCCUACGGGAGGCAGCAGUGGGGAAUUUUGGACAAUGGGCGAAAGCCUGAUCCAGCAAUGCCGCGUGUGUGAAGAAGGCCUUCGGGUUGUAAAGCACUUUUGUCCGGAAAGAAAUCCUUGGCCCUAAUACGGUCGGGGGAUGACGGUACCGGAAGAAUAAGCACCGGCUAACUACGUG